rnacentral:lncRNA from 1 species
AGACUUGGAUCAUGUUUAAGGAAAGGUUGAAUGAGUCUUCCCUUUAACACUGAUACUAAGUGUGAGUUGGUGUGAAUGUCCUCCCUUCCUGAACCUUUUGAGGACUAUUCAUCUUGAUACUGAAGUUUGACCCAACCAAGGACUCUGUUUCCUAUCCUGCUCUAAGGUCGGAUUCUAUAAAUGAUUACUUCAGCAUUUCAAACCUCAGAGAAGCUGUAAAAGUUAAUGGGUCCCCAAAAGUGAAUCCGUCUUCAACAUGAUCUCCAUGCUAGAUCUCUUUCAUCAAGGUGGUGAAUACCCUGGGAACUGAGGACUUCAAUCAAAAGAACUUCCAUGAAUUUUGUUUCAGUUUGAGCCUACCUUCUCCUAUAUUUUCAAAAUAUUUGUAAAAGAGUAUGUCACAAAUGAUGGGAAGACUAUUAUGUACAAUAAAAUUUUGCUAGAUUACCUUAGUAAAUAUCCA